rnacentral:RNase_P_RNA from 1 species
UGAGUCGGCCGAGUGACCGCGGCAGCCUGCUGCAAGGUGGGCUGUCGAGGAAGGUCGGGGCUCCUCCGGGCACGGUGCUGACGAGAGUCAGAACGAGGCGACUUGUUGGAAAGGGCAACAGAGAGCAGACCGCCGAUGGCCCAGGUCCUCUUCGGAGCGACCAGGGCACAGGCAAGGGUGAAACGGUGCGGUAAGAGCGCACCAGCGUCGGAGGCGACUCCGGCGGCUCGGUAACCCCCACCGGGAGCAAGGCCAAGCGUGAGACAUGAGCUGCCCGGCUCGCACCCGUGAGGGUGCAGUCUCCAGGUAGGCCGCACAGAUGGAUGGUCACUGACGGAGACCCCGGUAACGGACUCCCGAACAGAACCCCGCCUACAGGCUGACUCACCGU